UACGUAGGGUGCGAGCGUUGCCCGGAUUUAUUGGGCGUAAAGGGCGCGUAGGCGGCCGAUCAAGUCGGGGGUGAAAGCCUGUGGCUCAACCACAGAAUUGCCUUCGAUACUGUUUGGCUUGAGACCGGAAGAGGUAAGUGGAACUGCGAGUGUAGAGGUGAAAUUCGUAGAUAUUCGCAAGAACACCAGUGGCGAAGGCGGCUUACUGGUCCGGUUCUGACGCUGAGGCGCGAAAGCGUGGGGAGCAAACAGG
rnacentral:rRNA from 1 species